rnacentral:lncRNA from 1 species
AGAUACUAAAAAGUUGUUUAGAUUGGGUAUGGGUUAAAACAGGAAAAUUCAGCAUAAGGCUAUACUGCUAUAUACUAGCAUGUACUGAUGCGUAUUGAAACAACACAAACUGAUGCAAAGUCAAUAUGCAUUUAUACAGGUCAGCACACUUGAUAGAGGUGUGCACCCUUGUACCAGGUGGAUAAACUGUCAGCACAUAUAUGUUGUUGAUAUUGCAUGAAAGGGAAGGUGCUCUGAUUGUUUAUUACAUCAAUGUAUGGCUGCAAAAUCAGAUUGAAAAAGCAAUUAUAUAGUGAUUGACAUUUCAUCAGCCACAACUCGCAAACAUUUGUGGUUGGAGAGAAUUUUGAGAACUUGCUAGAAGACUUUCCGGUCUGUAGAUAAAUUAGUGGAUAUUCUUUGGACUUUCCAGGUAUUGGGUUAUGGUGUUUACAAAUGGUUACCUAAUUUUGCUGUCCUUAGGUACUGUUCAUCUUUGGAAUGAUUUUUUUCUUUUUUGGGGUCUAGGAUAGCCUCCUCAUUUAACUCUCGUUCUUUUCUGGAUACUAGACUACUCAAUUACUUUGUACACUGAGUGGUUGAUGAAAGGUUUCAGAAACUAUUGCCCCUUGGCUGGGCCCAUCAAAUUUAUGUUACAGGAAUUCUCUGUUUCCUUCAAAAAAUUCAGUGAAAAAUAGAAAAAAUAUUAGAGAUGGAAACAUGCCAAGGGGAAAAGUUGUAUUAUUUGGAAUGAUGGAAGCAUGCCAAGGGG